rnacentral:rRNA from 1 species
UACGUAGGGGGCAAGCGUUGUCCGGAAUCAUUGGGCGUAAAGAGCGCGUAGGCGGUCCGGUAAGUCGGUUGUGAAAACUGGGGGCUCAACCCUCAGAGGCCGACCGAUACUGUCGGGCUAGAGUCCGGAAGAGGAGAGUGGAAUUCCUGGUGUAGCGGUGAAAUGCGCAGAUAUCAGGAAGAACACCAAUGGCGAAGGCAGCUCUCUGGGACGGUACUGACGCUGAGACGCGAAAGCGUGGGGAGCGAACAGG